rnacentral:rRNA from 1 species
AGCAGUAGCCACGGUAAUACGUAGGUGGCAAGCGUUGUCCGGAAUUAUUGGGCGUAAAGGGCUCGCAGGCGGUUUCUUAAGUCUGAUGUGAAAGCCCCCGGCUCAGCCGGGGAGGGUCAUUGGAAACUGGGAAACUUGAGUGCAGAAGAGGAGAGUGGAAUUCCACGUGUAGCGGUGAAAUGCGUAGAGAUGUGGAGGAACACCAGUGGCGAAGGCGACUCUCUGGUCUGUAACCGACGCUGAGGAGCGAAAGCGUGGGGAGCGAACAGGAUUAGAUACCCCGGUAGUCCCUGUCUCUUAUAC